rnacentral:rRNA from 1 species
ACGAACGCUGGCGGCGUGCGUUAACACAUGCAAGUCGAACGGAGAGAAUCAGUUGAAGUUUUCGGAUGGAAACUGAGGAUCUUAGUGGCGGACGGGUGAGUAACGCGUGGGUAACCUACCCUUUAAACUGGGACAACACCGGGAAACUGGUGCUAAUACCGGAGUAAUCUCACGAUUUGGCAUCUAAUUGUGAGGAAAGGUGGCCUCUGACAUAAGCUACCGAUAAAGGAUGGACCCGCGUCUGAUUAGCUAGUUGGUAGGGUAACGGCCUACCAAGGCGACGAUCAGUAGCCGGCCUGAGAGGGUGAUCGGCCACACUGGGACUGAGACACGGCCCAGACUCCUACGGGAGGCAGCAGUGGGGAAUCUUCCGCAAUGGGCGAAAGCCUGACGGAGCAACGCCGCGUGAAUGACGAAGGCCUUCGGGUCGUAAAGUUCUGUCUUUAGGGAAGAAGUCUCUUAGUGUGAAUAAUGCUAAGAGGUGACGGUACCUAAGGAGGAAGCUCCGGCUAACUACGUG